rnacentral:rRNA from 2 species
GUACGAGAGGACCGGAGUGGACGCAUCACUGGUGUUCGGGUUGUCAUGCCAAUGGCACUGCCCGGUAGCUAAAUGCGGAAGAGAUAAGUGCUGAAAGCAUCUAAGCACGAAACUUGCCCCGAGAUGAGUUCUCCCUGAGACUUUAAGUCUCCUGAAGGAACGUUAAAGACGAUGACGUUGAUAGGCCGGGUGUGUAAGCGCAGCGAUGCGUUGAGCUAACCGGUACUAAUGAACCGUGAGGCUUAACCUUACAACGCCGAAG